rnacentral:ncRNA from 2 species
AUGAUAGUUGUAGGAGAGAACAUUUAUAUGUCACCGAAGGAGCAAGUUCCAAGGAAAGAUCCGCUUGGAGCCAAUCUCUCAGGUAAACGGAUUACAGCUGGACG